CGAAGAGGCAAAUGUGUUAUAUAUAUUCGUCUAUUUGUGUGUGUGUGUGUGUGAGAGAGAGAGAGUCAGUUGAGCGUUUCUCAAUGUGUUUUGAGAAGUUUAAAACAGUACUAGGUUUAAUGACUAUGUUUGUAUAAUAAUAAUGUUUUAUAAAGAGAGUGAAAGUGAAAGCGAUAAAGAUGUUUAAAACAGUUAUAUGGAGUCUCACAUACAGAGGGCAGUACAGAGCAGCACAAGACAGUCUCGAUGACUAAGCUUAAAUCAUGGAUACACUAUGAUAGAGGCAGAUAAAAAUAUUGGUGUCGUCGAGUUCUGACUUAUCACAUAAUAAUCAGCUAAUCAAUUAAUAAUCAAAAGUGAAUUCAAAUUUGUUUCAGGACAAGAUUAAACAACAAUCAAGUAACCAGUACAAAAACAACAGUUUAUUUAAAAAGAAGAAAAAUGAUGCAGUACCAAAAUGGAAUGAUUGAAGGAAAAUACUACUUCAUAAUUGAGAUGGGCAAAUCACAGAUUUUGCGGAAGGAAAUUUUAUGUCACCUCCAAAAAAAUAGGCCUGGAUGGAUGGAGACGCACAGUGUGGAUGUUUGUGAUGUGAUUCUGGUUUUCUGCCCCAUUGUUUCACGGGCAGGAACUGACAUUGAUGCCGCUUUGAAUGAACUUAAUACAUGUCCAGCAUCCAAACCAGCUAUUUUCAUGGUGUUCCAUCCCACAUUUGAUGCUGAAAAGAUUGUACUGGACAGCAGCAGAUAUAUAAUCAGGAGAAAUACACUCACAGUGGACUGUCUGUUCCAUGAAGACAAGGGAUUGUUGAAAUGCAAAAAAAAUGAUGAGGCACUCACCAGAGUUGUUCACCGUUUCAAGCCUCAGGAACAAAAGAAAUUUCGUCGAAUAAUCAUCAUAACUGUUUUCACAGUUUCUUUUAUCUGUGUAAUUUACGGAUUAUCACAGUUGAGAAGAAAUUAACACAAACAAGUGCAGAGUAUGAUCUGAUAAAAUAAAUCAUUAACUGUGGAUUUCUGAAAGGACAGAGGAGAAAUUGUUGCUCAUUAUUAUACUGAGUGUAAUUAACAAUUUUAAUAAGCUCUAAAAUGUGAUUUGAUUAGAUGUAUGCAAAUUGAUGUGUUGUCCUUCAUAGCCUGCAUAUUAAGACUUUAGAUUGAGAUAACAGUGUUAUGAUUGAACUACUGUUGUAUUACUUCUGUUGUACUUGUGGCAUCAAAUUAUGGCACAAUUAUAACUAGCCAAGGUUUUUGUGGGGGCUCAGUGUUACUGAUCCCUAAUAUCAAUUUGACAUAGAUGUAAAAAUAAUAAAAAAAAAUAAAGUGAAUCUUGAUUGCAAAUGGGUCUCUGAAUCUGUGAAAAAUGCUACAAAAUUUAAACAUGAUACUUAUGCAUAACAGUUUUUAGGAUGCAUAUUCCUAACAGUUAAAGAAUAUAGGAAUAGGGAUUCUAUAAUAAGUUUAAAUAUUUGACUGACCAAAGGCUGCAGACUAAAAAAAGAAUUGACUUAUACUUCAGUUGGUUAAUUGGUCCUUUGAUUCCCUUAUUCACUUAUAUCAGGUUGAGUACAAUUUAUUAUCUUUUAAGUGAAUGUUUUGUAUUUGAAAGUGUGAGACAGAAUAUGUUGUAUGGUAUAACCUUCACUACAAUCUACAAUCUAUAAAUUUAAUAUGGAAGUGUGUAUAUUGCGAAAAUAUCUUAAUUAGUUUUAUUCAUAUUCUUAGAUAAAAUGAUGCAAAAUAGUCUAAUAAAUAUCAUGGAGCCAACUGUACUGUCUGAUCCCGUCAACCAAUAGAGCAAGAGCAACAAAGUGAAAGGAUAUUUACUCUGUGUGAGACACAGCGAGCAGCAGGAGUGGUGAAAGAAACAGGAACGUGAUGAUACGUCUGAAAGUCUAAACGAGAGUGAAAGUUUGUUUAUAUUAUGUUAGAAAACAGAGAGGAGAGCAGUUCGGAACUAAACUUGAAAUGGAUCAUAAAACUAAGACUGAUGUGAACUCCACCGAAGAACCAAAAGACCAACGUCCAUAGAUUACUGG